AGCGGACAAAGGACGAUGGCACACGAAGUGCUCUGGAGGCCUGUGACAGUUCAUGUGCCAUCGUCCUUUGUCCGCUGCU
ensembl:miRNA MIR12221-2 microRNA mir-12221-2